GGGAGGAGGGGGUUGCGGGGCCCGGCGAGCCCUGCCCUCCGCGCCCGCCUUCCCGCAGCCUCUGCGUGCGGGGAUGCGCCGGCAGAAGCCGCUUCCCCGCUGCCGGCGCCCGCGCAGACGGGGCCCGCCGUCCCCGGGCGUCUCUGCAGCCUGCCGGCUCUCCGCCGGCUGCUGCCAGCGCCCCGGUCUCAGGGUCUGGCUGCCUGCCUCGGCUCGCAGGUGGCAGCGCAGCCCGGCAGAGCGAUAGUCGAGCGAAGCGCCCUGCUCCGGUAUAUAUGAAUGGAAAACAACAACAACAAAACAAACAGAAAACCACCACACCAAAACCCACCAGGAAAAGAAGAGAAUGAAAAAUGGCCGCCUUCUUCAUCUCCAAGUUUGAUUAUUUCAACUCAUGUAGACUGGAGCCAUAAAUCCUAAAAAGAACAAACUAGUAUUCAGAGCUUCACGUCAGACUGCCCUUGUGAUACAGAUAAUCACCAGGAACAUUGCUCCAGUUAGUCACUACUUGCCCUAGUUGGUUAUUUAAUGCAAAACUAAAGUUCAAGGGAAAUUAAGACCUGAACUAUGGUGACUUCGAAGUUGUGUUCCGUGAACUAAAGAAGAUCUGUGAGGCCACAGUAAAGGUUUCACAGCUGGUGUGGAGAACCUGAUGGAAGAAUGCAAGCUCCACCAUUUCCAGCUGAAACUGUGCUGGGAAAUUCCCAAGUGUCGGCAGUAGUCUGUAGAUCCAAAAAGUUUUGGAAGCACUGCUGUGCUGGGGAUGGCCUGGACGGCCCAGCAUAGCAGCACAUCCUCCAACCCCACCCGCAGUCCAGCCCAGACUGGGCGAUAACAUAUAUCGCAGAGUGGCAGAGGCGGUCGAAUGGCAUCUCAGUUGUUGGUUUGAAGCAGCCGGUGCAGCUAUAAAGAGAAAUGAAGAAAAUGAGGGGAAAGGGAGCUGAGGAAGACUCUGUGAAGGAUAAAGAGAGAGACAAGUCAAGAAGUCCGACAGAAAAAAAAGGUCAUGAGUGAGGAAGAAGGGAUUUUCUUGAGAGAAUAUGAGGAAAAGAACAGCUUAAGGAAUAAAAGGGUGAGUGAGAGCCUACAGUGUAGAGGCUGCCUCCUCCCUUGAGGCAAUGGAGCAGACAACUUUAGGUGAUUUCUCCCUAGCUCCUGUUGUUAUCUCCCAGCAUUGUGGUCCCAUCUCUCCCUCUUGUGUGCAUCUCAAGAUUUUUCUCUAGUUUGGAACGCUAAAAUGUAUUUAAUUGUAAACACUUAAAACCUUAAGUUUCCUGCAUGCACAGAGGAUUUUCUCCCUUCCUGUGUCACAUUAAACUACUAAACACGCAGCUCAAACAUACAUUAGCUCUCGUGUCCAGUGAAGGGCACUCCAAAGCCCAUAUGUAUGCUGCCCUUCGUUCCUAAGGGUAAGUGUAGGCCAUUGCUUUGCCUGUACAGGAUACUUGUUUUUCUGUUGUGGGCUGUCCCUCCUCCAAUGCAGUAUCUUUUUACUUUUUCUUUUUUUUUUUUAAAGUUAGACCUUAGUUUGUUAUUUUCUUCCACUUUAAUGUUACUCCAACUGCAGUUUCAUCUGCAGAGCUCAUUUACAUGCUGUUUACCUUUUCUUCCAGCUUAUUAAUGAAGUUAUUAAAACAAGAAACAACUUCAUACCUUGCAGUAGACCCACUGCAUACUUCCCCACAACUUAGUGCAAUCUGCUGCUGUUUCUUAUCAGCCAGGGUUUGUGAUCCUUCAACCUGUUUUCAAUUUACAUGACAGUGCUUACGUCCAAAACAAUUUGAAUUCAUUUUGGGAGAUUUAGUGAGACACUGUAUUAAAUCCUUUAUUAAAAUCAUGCUGUGUAUCUUUCAUCCAGGAUUUCUGCAGUUCUAUCAAAAAAGCAAUCACGUUUCCUUGGCACGACAUGUUCCUUAUCAACCCAUGCUGCUUAUUGCUUAUCGUUUUAUUAUCCUUUGAAUGUUUAGAGGAGUGUUUUGGGUUUGGUUUUUUUCAUUUAUUUUCUUUUUCCCCUCAGCAACUGUUCUGUUCUUUCACAUUACAGAAUAUGCUUGAAAUUACACUCCUUGUUUAAUAAACUGCUCUUCUUCCCU